UCUCUCUGAAUCUGCGUACGGCUCCGCAAACCAGUUGUAAACUAUAGCAAGCAUGCCUGGGUUCCCUUCACGGGGAGCUUGGGCGAUACGGUUAACCCUGGUAAUUCUGAGGCUAACACGAGAACGCAAUCCUUGGCUGACCGGGCAACUGGGAGGCUGAGAGGCGUGCAAGUUGUGUCGCGAGAAAUCGCCGGGAUUGGAUGCACGCCUGGACCGCGCCAAAGACAGAUGAGUGUCCCUGACCCUCACGGGAAGGGGAUGCUUGCCUGAGCGGCUCUUGCAAUGUGCUUCUGACCUAUCAACUAGACGGCAGCAUAAGGGACAUGCUAUGGUUACAACGGGUACAGAGGAUUAGGGUUCGAUCCUGGAGAGUGGGCCUGAGAGAUUGAGC
rnacentral:rRNA from 1 species